UUUGCUGAGGCUCAGUGGUACAGCACUCGCCUAGCAUGUGUGAGGCAUUGAGUUCGAUUCUCAGAACCACAU
rnacentral:tRNA from 1 species